rnacentral:rRNA from 1 species
UACGGAGGGUGCGAGCGUUGUCCGGAAUCACUGGCGUAAAGGGCGCGUAGGCGGUCUGCUAAGCGUGCGGUGAAAGCCUGGGGCUCAACCCCAGGUCUGCCGUGCGAACUGGUGGACUAGAGCACUGUAGAGGCAGGUGGAAUUCCGGGUGUAGCGGUGGAAUGCGUAGAGAUCCGGAAGAACACCGGUGGCGAAGGCGGCCUGCUGGGCAGUUGCUGACGCUGAGGCGCGACAGCGUGGGGAGCAAACAGG